UAUAUAUAGGACUAAGAUGUUUUAGUAGUAUCUAAACUAAUAGUGGGUUCUUACGUUGGAUUUUCAUGUAAUGCAGUGCAACCUUAGUGAAAGUCAACAGAAUGGGUUCUGUGGUCAUUAAUUCAUAUUAAGCACAUUCACAUUAAUCACAUGGUCCAGGAUCGUAAUCUAUAGUAGUCACCUAUCCAGAGCAUGCUGUAUUUUCCAAUUACCCAGGAAGUUUACAUGUUUAUAUCAUAAACAGGAAUGCAUGACUGCAUUUCUCUUUAAAAUGCCAAAUCAAAGAAUGCAUCACAAUUGUCCUUCAGACUUGGUAACAGGCCAAAGGCCUCUAAGAGAGAGAACUGGGCUUUGAGAGCUCUUAAGCCCUAAGCUACUUAGCACUUAUGCCACAGCUCCUGAAUCCCUCUUACUUUGUUCUUAUUGUGUUUCCUUAAUGUCCAGUACAGUCUUCAGGGAAUCUGCCUUGUUUCCAUUCACACACAGUAGAGAGAAUAAAUAGGCCAUGGGAGUGCUGGAAAUUAAACAGGAAGAUGCUGUGGAAGUGGUGGAUUGGACGACUGACAACAGUGGCUGAAUGACCUCUAAAGGCACUGAAAGACACAGGAUAGAGACGAACUCUAAUCCAGAUGCUGGACACAACUUCUAGCUUUGGGUGGAACAGUUGCCUAAAACCAACAAAAGAGUUUUUAAGGCAAAUGAUUGGUAUAUUUUUUGUUGAGGAGAUGUUAAGCAUGCCCCUAUAUGUUGUAAUACAUAAAUAUUAUUACUUUUAAAAGACAUUUGGGUUCUGAAAAUGUUUAUAAUGUUCCUAAAAACAUGCAGUGAAGCAAAGCAAUUAAUAGCUGAGAAAAUCUCCAAUAUAUAAGAAUUCUUCAUUCAUUUAUUUGUCUAUGGUUUCAAAACAGAGCCAAUCACUGGUUUAAUCAGUUAAUGACAUUAAAAGAAUUUGAAUCCUAUGACCAAUCAAAACAAAAAUUGUCCAAAUGCAUGUUCUAUGAAGGACUUUGGCCUCAAAUCACAAUAAAUUCUUUAAUCUAAUAAGCAAAUUCCACAAGAAAAAAUAUGACUGCCUCCUAAAUUCUUAAUUUGACUUGCCUUUUUUAAAAGUUCCCUUUUCUUAAUUCAUAGCAUCAUAGAUUCACAGAAUAUUUCUUGUUUGAAGGGACCAUGUGACUAAGAGCAUCCUCCAGAUGCUCCUUGAACUCUUACAAUAUUUGUGAGACCUCCCCUUCUUUGGGGAGCCCAUUCCUUGUGGAGCCAGUGACUGACCAUCUCUCAGUGACGAACUUUUUUCUAAUAUUUAGUCUGAAUUUCUAUUGACAGAAUUUAAUUUUAUUUCCCUGUGUCCUAUCACUGGUCUCCAGAGGCAGGAGAGAAAGACUGCCUCCACCUCCACUGCUGCCCACCUUGAGGAAGUUGUAGACUUCCUUGAGAUCACCCCUCAGCCUUCCCUUCUCCAAGAUAAACAAACUACCCUCAGCCACCCCUUGAAAGUCUUCUGGACGCACUCAAAUAUUUUUUUGUUUUCUUAUAUUGAGGCACCCAAAACUGCACACAGUAAUUGAGAUGCUGCCACAUCAGUGCAGAGCAGAAGAGAACAUUCCCUUCCCUUUCCUGGCUGGUGAUGCUGUGCCUGAUGCACCCCAGGACACAGCUGGCUGUCCUGGCCACCAAGGCACAGAUGACUCAGAUUAAAUUUAUCACCACCCCAGACCCAUAGAUCAGUUUCUGCAGGGCUGCUCUCCAGCCUUUUAUUCCCCAGUGUAUAUGACCUGGAUUAUCCUGUCCCAUGGUGCCUGUUCAUGCUAAAUUUCAUAUUGUUGAUGAUAUACAGAGCUCUGCUCUCAAUGGUGUCCACAGCUUCUUCUAUUUAGUAUCAUUGGCAAACUCACUCAAGUUAUUUCAACCAGAAAAAAAAUUUCACACACAAGUGACAAAUUUAGUGAGAAGUCAAGAAAUACUAAUGAAUUCUGCUUAAAUAUGUAUGAUACCUAUUAUUAUUAUUAAUUAUGUUGAUUAUUCCUAUGACUAGGAAAUAAGAAGAAACUCCAGGUUUGCCUGACCAGACAUGGAGUACUGGUACCUUGAGGAACAUGCAGCAUAAACAUGCAGGUGAAGUGUUCUAGAAUACAGACAAUCAAGUCAACUGAACUGUGCUAUCAGGAAAUGUCUCCCAGGCCUUUAGUGAGGUAGGAUCCCAGGCAGGGGGCAAAUAGGUUAAUUUACCAGAAAGGAAUGAAAGUUCCCUGUCAGCAGAAUAGGGAGAAAGGGAAGUAAACAGAUAAAGUGAGAAAGAGAGACACAAAGUAUGCUCUAGGCUUUUCCUUUCGAUAGGUCAGACAUUUCUCUUUGAUGGAUAUUAUGCAGAUCAUAAUUAAUGCAUGACACAAUUGAAGCUGUCUUGCUGACUUAAGUUUAGUAUUUAGAGUUAUUCACUGCAUAAAAACACAGAAAAAGUACUACUAAACUGCUCCUGCAAUUAAUUAGCCCACUUACCAUUCAGCCAUGAUGACAUACUUCCUAUCAAAAGAGAGUAAAACACCCUCGAACAGUCAGAAAGUGAUUAGCUGUUACUUUUAGGUGGUAUCCCAUACCAUCAUGUAUUUUGGCAUUUUUGUGAGAAAUGCACUUAAAACCCUCCACUCACAAGUACCGCUUUUACCACAUAAGAAUAUGCGUAUUUUUACAUUUAAAACUUAUAUUUGCUUCUUCCUAAUUUGUGGCACAGUCCAUUACUUUUGCAAUAAUAUGUCUUCUGUAUUCUGUGGAUCUAUUUGGACUGAAGUCUUGCUAUCACUUCUCUCUCUCUAUCUUUUUUUUCCUAAUGACACUAAUAUCUAUAUCAUAUAAUUGUCUUUAAUAUUCAACUAUGUACUAUGGUACUAUAUACUUUCAAUUAAAAUAUGAAAUUAAAAGCUUUUUCUACCAGUCUAAAGUCAUGGUACCUCUCCACAAGUGGAAUUGUGAGACAAUAAUGCAUAUAGACCAGGCACAGACUGAAAUAGUGGGAAGAGGAGUGACAGUUGUCAAUAUACUCAUCAAUACUACCAGAUAAGAAGGAAUCAAAAUGCAGUCACAGAGGAAGAUUUACUUCAAGGUAGACAAAUUCCUAUUUCUUUUGCAUGCCAUAAUGAAAACAGAACUGUAGGGGUCAUAUCAGGGACUUCAUUCUAAAAAUAAACCACUUUAAUUAUGGAAUAUUCACAAGUAUCUUAACAUAAGCUUCACCCAUCUGCAAUCAGAUUUAACCUCUUCUAAAAAUGGGUUGUCAAAAUAUAUAGCUAAUAAAUAUGUUUUAUAUAUAUUAUAAUCUAUUUAAUAUAUUAUAUUUUUACCAUGACCAUUUAUUAGGUGGAGGGAGAAAUUUUCCUCUGAAGAGCUAAUUACAGAUACAAAAGAAAGACACUUAAAUUUUUUUUCAUGGAUUUUCUCAGAAAAGUAUCUUAUAAUGUAAGAGGCAUCAGACUGGAAAUAAGUUUUUUACUGGUUACCUAAUGCCUUUCCCGGGAUGCCAUCCUUCUCAUGCUUGUGGCAGUGGUUAUAUUUCACUCCUUGUUGCUUUUUGGUGCUAACAGUGAAUAAAUGGAAAUGCUUUUUUCCCUGGUAAUUCCCCUAAAAGUGCUCACAACCUUUGCUUAUCUAGCAUGUAUAGGCAAGUUGACACUUCCCAGCAUAAAGAGCAUAGAAAUGCUGGCAGCUAUAAAGCUCUGGCACCAACAUCCAAGCCGAUUCUCACAAAUGGACACACAAGCGCUUAGGUCUCUGUUAGGGAUUCUAAAUCCCAGAAAGUAUGCCAAACAGCUGCUCUGCUAUUGUCCCAACUUUGCCUUCACUGGGCAAUAAAAUGAAUAUUAUUUGCCUUUUUUAAUCAUUAUUUAUUUUGCUUUGCAAUUGAUACAAACAUUUAAAAUAGCUGGUCAGAAAGUACUUCAUGUUCCAGCUGCCAAAUGACCACAUGAGUACAUCUGUGGCACCUUGCAGAUUAAGGCACCAGGCAAAAUAAAGAUACAUAUGGUGCACAGGAGCAGGGCCUGGAUUGUACGGGACAGUCAAUUGAAUGAAGAUUGCAAAUCUGGCCUUGGGAUAGCAUUCAAAAUGUAUGAAAAUAUCCAAUCAAACUCAGUGAAAGCUCCGCAGCUGAUGAUGACUCAAUGUGUUCUAAGCACUGGCAUCAGAAAAAAAACCAAAACUUGUGGAAGUUAUUAUUCUUUCUGUCUCUUCCUGCUGGCUCUGGGAAGCACAUUACAAGUUAUGCUUACUUCACAUGUUUACGAUUUUCAGAUCUCUCUCCCCUCUGUCAGGAAACAUACAUGCUGAGCCUGAGUGAAGGCCAGAUGGGAGCUGCCAAUGAUUACUCAGUGUUUCUUGCUGAGCACACUAAGGGCAUCGGACAAAAUCAUCAGGAACCAGCCCAGGAAAAAUGAAAGGUGCUUAAGUUUAGGUAGAGUGCAGCAAAGAAGAACCCAUUCUAGUGCCAAGACAACUUAAAAAGGUAAGAUGUGACCAAGGACUCAGAGGUUUUAAAACUGUUUGCUAUCAUCUUAAAAAAAUUCUCCAAUUUUGCUUGUAAAAAGAAAAGUAAAGGAAUUGUGUCCAUGUUUUACCACUGAAAACUGUCAGAUAUACGUCAAUAGAAAAAAGCAGAAUUUUCUUAGGCCUCUAAUAUUUUAAUAGGAUAAAGCAGAGGAUGAUCAUAUUUACACCAAUAAAUAUGGUAUUUUACUAAUUUUUAGUUAUUUUUUAGUAAUUUUUCUCCUUAAUGCUUUUCAGUUGAAAGCAUCUAUUCUGCUCAUAGACUUAUCUGAAUGUUCAGGUAUGAAUUGAUACAAAUAAGAACAAAGUUAUAUUUACUGUUAUUCUCAUUCCUGUGAAGUCCUUUUAAAAGACUGAACCUUCUGGGAAGCAUGUUGAGACAUUUCUUUUCUUCAUAACUGAACAAUUUCCUUGAGCGUUUUCUCCUCAAAUAUCUGAGCAUCAGGUUGCCUCGCAGCCCUUGUUCUGAAAACCAUGAGGUACGGCAUGGAAAUCUCCACUAUUAAUAGGUGAGAAGGCUGCACCCCUUUCCCUGACUUUAGGUGCUGUGGUAUUGUAUUGCUCAUUAAUCAAUAAUUAGCCAUAUUGUUAUAGAUGACUUUAUGAAAGCAUGAAAGCAGUUUUGGCAAAGCAGUACAAUUUGUUCCACACAUGGCAGUCUGCCUUAGCAACAAGGUCUGGAAUCACACUUCUCAUUUUGAAGUCACACUAGAUUUUUCAGGUAUUGGAACUGCACUUUGAAACCUCUUUGUGCUCUCAUUUAAGAUGUCUUUGGUGAUCUCUUGUGAAAUCCUGACUGCUGACAACAGGUACAUUCAAAUGGAAACUAAAUUUCAUCUGUUUCAGGAAUAAAUCCUAUACGUAUUCAAAAGAAAGCUUUCUCUGAGCCUAUCAAUAAGCAAGUCAUGUUGGAAAGAAUUCAGACAUCACUAAAUAAACAUGAUGACUUGCUCUGUGCUGAAAAUAUUGAUGUUGAAUAUUCAAUAUAUAAUGCCAUAAGGUAAAAAUAUGUUUGGUCUUAUUCAUACACAAGUAACCAGAUUCUCCCUCAGAAAGCAAAGUGAGCUACAUGGUUUUAUAGUGACACUUAGAUGUAACAGAUGUAUAUGUCUUUUGGAAACAUCUUGAAAUGCAGAGGAAUUGUGGGAAAGUGAGAAACAAGCCUUGCAUUGCUUCCUUCCAAUUCUAGGCUCAGAAGAUAUAGUAACAAAGAACAGUAGCAAAGAACAGUAGACAUUUAAAGCCGUACAAUCUUUCCCCUUGCCUCAGUUUUGUUUCAUGUGUGUUUCAAGUGUGUUUAAUGGUGGAGGAGGGCAUGGUUCUUCAUCAAGUUGAAAGAAAGAAUAGGAUCACCAAGAGUUCAUAGAAACUUCAAUUUCAUAAAGUCAUCUAAAAAAACCUUUCUUGCAUAAUAUGGGUUUUACUGAUAUUUCUGUUUCCUUCAUAUUCUAGGAGAGCAUUUUGUUUCUCACUGGCCUAUACACUGUUCUGAAAAGAAGAGAGAAGGCCAAAAGACCACCAGAAUAUUUUCUCUUUUAAAGAAAACCAGUUGUUCUGGAGUAUCAAACAUGUGCAGAAAACAAUAUGGAUCAUCAGUUUUUAUCUCAGAAAAAAAAAAGUGCAUGUGUGCUUGAAUGCAAUGAUAUUACAUAUUACUUCUAAUAGAAACAGAGAACAGCUGAUUAAUUUGUGAAUUAAACAUAAUAGUUUCAUUUUCCUUGGAUUUAUGUCUUAGAGAGAAUCAAAAAUUGAAAAAUAAAAAUUACCCUAAAUAAUAGGAUAUUAUUAAAUGUUUUGUUUAUAAAACAUUUGUUUAUAAAUAUUUUUGUUUAUAAAAUAUUUUGUUUAUAAAAUAUUUUGCCACUAAAAUAUGUGGGUUGCAGUUGUUUGACAGCUCUAAUGACUCAUGACCAUAUCCAGUGGACUACAGCCAUGCUAACCCAGUGCACCAUCUAUCCAGGAAGAACAGGAUACUUGAAAAAAACCACAUUCUUGAAUUUGACUGAAGGCAUCUGAGUUCCAACAGUGGAGAACUAGAUUGACCAUGACUCUACAGUAUUGUCAAAGCAUAAUUUUAAGCCAUAGUGGCCCACAUCUAGUGCUAAAAAGUGGUUAUGUGCAGAACUUUAUAUGUUUUAGAUAAAACCAACACUUUUUUUGACUUUACUUGACUUUGUUUCCUUUUACCACUGUGAGAAAUGUAGAGAUGAGAAAUGCAUGCUUACAAAACAACUAGCUCAUGUGGGAGAGGUAUGGAAAACACAAGGAAAGGCUUUCUGAGUUAAAUUGCUUAGAAAAAAAUUGGGCAUAAUGUCUCUUUUACAUGGCAUUUCCAUCACUGGGGCUUUUAGUUUUUUUGAUUUUUUUGGAAGAAGUUUGUUAAAUUAUUCCCUUACAGAUAUUUAACUAGGCAUUACCAAAUGUCAUUCAAAUGAUGCAGAGCCUUGUGAUAUAAUAUCCUACAAUGUACCUAAGUUGUCAAAGUCAUAAUUUGAUCUUUUAUUAUCCUGACCUCUAGGGUGCAAUUUUUUUUUUUUUUAUUUUUUUUUACUGAGAGAAUAAUUAUAUAAUCAUGUUAGAACACAUAUCUGAUACAAGGACCUUCAGUUUCUUUGCUCCUUUUUCUUGUAUAUAGGGUUACAUAUAUACAUAUGUACAUAUUUACAUGGGCCUAAAAUUCUGGAUAGGUGCUAGGUAUUCCAAGCAUUUUUGGACAUAAUAUUAGUGAAAUAAGGAAAAUAAGUGCACAGACAAGCAACUCACAAUUCAACUGUUACUGAAUGUUUUAAGGAAGUUUUUUUAAUUUUUUGGGGGUUUUUUUUUGGUUCUUUUGAUGCUUCAUUUUUGUAUGUAAUACUAUGAAAAUGGUGAGAAUCUUUGCUGCUGAAACUACCUUGGUUGUAUACAAAUAAAACCUAGAAAAUUUAUCAAAUGUCUAUGUUUUCCAUACCAAAGGCUCAACUAGGUAUUAAAUAUAUUUAUAUUGAUUGAAAUGUAUAGAAAUAUUUUUAAAUUAUAUAAUAUUGAAUGUAAUAUUUUAUUAGAAUAUAUCUAAUACAAAAAAGGUUUCCUUUGAAUAUACCAUAUGUUUAUACCUGUCGAUGUCCAUGUCCUCAAAAAUCUUGUUUAUUGUAAUAAAAAGCGUAUUAUAAUGUAA